rnacentral:rRNA from 1 species
AGGGUGUAAACGCUGCAGACUUGGUGUUGGGAACCCUUCGGGGGUGUCCAGUGCCGGAGAGAAGUUGUUAAGUCUGCUACUUGGGGAGUACGUCCGCAAGGAUGAAACUUAAAGGAAUUGGCGGGGGAGCACCGCAACGGGAGGAGCGUGCGGUUUAAUUGGAUUCAACACCGGAAAACUCACCAGUGAAGACUGUUACAUGAAAGCCAGGCUGAUGACCUUGCUAGAUUUUCAGAGAGGUGGUGCAUGGCGGUAGACGUCU